rnacentral:rRNA from 2 species
GGGAAGUGGCGGCGUGCCUAUACAUGCAGUCGAACGAACUCUGGUAUUGAUUGGUGCUUGCAUCAUGAUUUACAUUUGAGUGAGUGGCGAACUGGUGAGUAACACGUGGGAAACCUGCCCAGAAGCGGGGGAUAACACCUGGAAACAGAUGCUAAUACCGCAUAACAACUUGGACCGCAUGGUCCGAGUUUGAAAGAUGGCUUCGGCUAUCACUUUUGGAUGGUCCCGCGGCGUAUUAGCUAGAUGGUGGGGUAACGGCUCACCAUGGCAAUGAUACGUAGCCGACCUGAGAGGGUAAUCGGCCACAUUGGGACUGAGACACGGCCCAAACUCCUACGGGAGGCAGCAGUAGGGAAUCUUCCACAAUGGACGAAAGUCUGAUGGAGCAACGCCGCGUGAGUGAAGAAGGGUUUCGGCUCGUAAAACUCUGUUGUUAAAGAAGAACAUAUCUGAGAGUAACUGUUCAGGUAUUGACGGUAUUUAACCAGAAAGCCACGGCUAACUACGUGCCAGCAGCCGCGGUAAUACGUAGGUGGCAAGCGUUGUCCGGAUUUAUUGGGCGUAAAGCGAGCGCAGGCGGUUUUUUAAGUCUGAUGUGAAAGCCUUCGGCUCAACCGAAGAAGUGCAUCGGAAACUGGGAAACUUGAGUGCAGAAGAGGACAGUGGAACUCCAUGUGUAGCGGUGAAAUGCGUAGAUAUAUGGAAGAACACCAGUGGCGAAGGCGGCUGUCUGGUCUGUAACUGACGCUGAGGCUCGAAAGUAUGGGUAGCAAACAGGAUUAGAUACCCUGGUAGUCCAUACCGUAAACGAUGAAUGCUAAGUGUUGGGAGGGUUUCCGCCCUUCAGUGCUGCAGCUAACGCAUUAAGCAUUCCGCCUGGGGGAGUACGGCCGCAAGGCUGAAACUCAAAGGAAUUGACGGGGGCCCGCACAAGCGGUGGAGCCAUGUGGGUUUAAUUCGAAGCUACGCGAAGAACCUUACCAGGUCUUGACAUACUAUGCAAAUCUAAGAAGAUUAGACGUUCCCUUCGGGGACAUGGAUACAAGGUGGGGGCAUGGGUUGUCGUCCACCUCCUGGCCGUGGAGAAGUUUUGGGUGUAA